rnacentral:rRNA from 1 species
GAUUAAGGUCUCCGUAGGUGAACCUGCGGAAGGAUCAUUACCGAGUGAGGGCCCUCUGGGUCCAACCUCCCACCCGUGUCUAUCGUACCUUGUUGCUUCGGCGGGCCCGCCGUUUCGACGGCCGCCGGGGAGGCCUCGCGCCCCCGGGCCCGCGCCCGCCGAAGACCCCAACAUGAACGCUGUUCUGAAAGUAUGCAGUCUGAGUUGAUUAUCAUAAUCAGUUAAAACUUUCAACAACGGAUCUCUUGGUUCCGGCAUCGAUGAAGAACGCAGCGAAAUGCGAUAAGUAAUGUGAAUUGCAGAAUUCAGUGAAUCAUCGAGUCUUUGAACGCACAUUGCGCCCCCUGGUAUUCCGGGGGGCAUGCCUGUCCGAGCGUCAUUGCUGCCCUCAAGCACGGCUUGUGUGUUGGGCCCCGUCCCCUCCCCCGGGGACGGGCCCGAAAGGCAGCGGCGGCACCGCGUCCGAUCCUCGAGCGUAUGGGGCUUUGUCACCCGCUCUGUAGGCCCGGCCGGCGCCAGCCGACACCCAACUUUUAUUUCUAAGGUUGACCUCGGAUCAGGUAGGGAUACAAUC